GCUACCAGCAGAUCGAGCGGAACGAUGGUAGCUUGCUACCAGGCGUCGAGCGGCGGACCCCCUUAAAAAGACUUAGGAAUCUACCUAGUAGUGGGGGAUAGCACUUGGGAAACUCGUAUUAAUACCGCAUACGUCCUACGGGAGAAAGGGGGCAACUUGUUGCUCUCGCUAUUAGAUGAGCCUAAGUCGGAUUAGCUAGAUGGUGGGGUAAAGGCCUACCAUGGCGACGAUCUGUAGCUGGUCUGAGAGGAUGAUCAGCCACACCGGGACUGAGACACGGCCCGGACUCCUACGGGAGGCAGCAGUGGGGAAUAUUGGACAAUGGGGGAAACCCUGAUCCAGCCAUGCCGCGUGUGUGAAGAAGGCCUUUUGGUUGUAAAGCACUUUAAGCAGUGAAGAAGACCUAACGGUUAAUACCCGUUAGCGAUGACAUUAGCUGCAGAAUAAGCACCGGCUAACUCUGUGCCAGCAGCCGCGGUAAUACAGAGGGUGCAAGCGUUAAUCGGAAUUACUGGGCGUAAAGCGAGCGUAGGUGGCUUGAUAAGUCAGAUGUGAAAUCCCCGGGCUUAACCUGGGAACUGCAUCUGAAACUGUUAGGCUAGAGUAGGUGAGAGGGAAGUAGAAUUUCAGGUGUAGCGGUGAAAUGCGUAGAGAUCUGAAGGAAUACCGGAUGGCGAAGGCAGCUUCCUGGCAUCAUACUGACACUGAGGCUCGAAAGCGUGGGUAGCAAACAGGAUUAGAUACCCUGGUAGUCCACGCCGUAAACGAUGUCUACUAGUCGUUGGGUCCCCUUGAGGGACUUAGUGACGCAGCUAACGCAAUAAAGUAGACCGCCUGGGGGAGUACGGGCCGCAAGGGUUAAAACUCCAA
rnacentral:rRNA from 1 species